UACGAAGGGGGCUAGCGUUGCUCGGAAUUACUGGGCGUAAAGGGCGCGUAGGCGGCACUGUUAGUCAGGCGUGAAAGUCCUGGGCUCAACCUGGGAACUGCGCUUGAUACGGCAGAGCUAGAGGAUGGAAGAGGGUCGCGGAAUUCCCAGUGUAGAGGUGAAAUUCGUAGAUAGUUGGGAAGAACACCGGUGGCGAAGGCGGCGACCUGGUCCAUUACUGACGCUGAGGCGCGACAGCGUGGGGAGCAAACAGGAUUGAGAUAC
rnacentral:rRNA from 1 species